rfam:Kwoniella heveanensis BCC8398 unplaced genomic scaffold supercont1.10, whole genome shotgun sequence.
GUGGGGAUGGCGCAGUGGUAGUUUCGCGAGAGAUUGCAAUUCUAAGCUUAACAGCUUCAGAACAGUAUAUCUCUAGGUCGUGGGUUCGACCCCCACUCUCCACU